ACACUGAAGAAUCCUGUGACAGGCA
rnacentral:piRNA from 1 species